AGUGAACGCUGGCGGCGUGCUUAACACAUGCAAGUCGAACGAGAACGGAAUAUAGCUUGCUAUAUUUGUCAGCUAAGUGGCGCACGGGUGAGUAAUGUAUAGAUAACCUGCCCUUAAGAAAGGAAUAACAGUUGGAAGCGACUGCUAAUGCCCUAUAUGCCUUUAAUACAUAAGUAUGCAAGGGAAACGCUUUAGUGCUUAAGGAUGGGUCUGUAUGGUAUCAGCUUGUUGGUGAGGUAAUGGCUCACCAAGGCUAUGACGCCUAACUGGUUUGAGAGGAUGAUCAGUCACACUGGAACUGAGACACGGUCCUGACUCCUACGGGAGGCAGCAGUGGGGAAUAUUGCACAAUGGACGAAAGUCUGAUGCAGCAACGCCGCGUGGAGGAUGACACAUUUCGGUGCGUAAACUCCUUUUAUAUAGGAAGAUAAUGACGGUACUAUAUGAAUAAGCACCGGCUAACUCCGUGCCAGCCGCCGCAGUAACAC
rnacentral:rRNA from 1 species